CGGCAACAGCUCAAAUUUGAAAUCUGGUCUCUUCGGGGCCCGAGUUGUAAUUUGGAGAGGAUGUUUCGGGUACGGUCCGGGCUUAAAUUUCUUGGAACAGAAUGUCAAAGAGGGUGAGAAUCCCGUCUGGAGUCCGGACACGGCCUAUGUGAAACUCCUUCGAC
rnacentral:rRNA from 1 species